CUAACAGUCUUUAGAUCUGGAUAGGUGUGGAAGUGGGGUCCCAGAGCGACAGACUAUAGGUGUGGAUAGGUGUGGAAGUGGGAGUCCUAGAGCGACAGACUAUAGGUGUGGAUAGGUGUGGAAGUGGGAGUCCUAGAGUGACAGACUUGAGUGUGGAUAGGUGUGGAAGUGGGAGUCCUAGAGUGACAGACUUGAGUGUGGAUAGGUGUGGAAGUGGGAGUCCCAGAGCGACAGACUAUAGGUGUGGAUAGGUGUGGAAGUGGGAGUCCCAGAGCGACAGACUAUAGGUGUGGAUAGGUGUGGAAGUGGGAGUCCCAGAGCGACAGACUUUAGGUGUGGAUAGGUGUGGAAGUGGGAGUCCCAGAGCAACAGACUAUAGGUGUGGAUAGGUGUGGAAGUGGGAGUCCCAGAUCGACAGACUUUAGGUGUGGAUAGGUGUGGAAGUGGGAAUCCCAGAGCGACAGACUAUAGGUGUGGAUAGGUGUGGAAGUGGGAGUUCUAGAGCGACAGACUAUAGGUGUGGAUAGGUGUGGAAGUGGGAGUCCUAGAGCGACAGACUAUAGGUGUGGAUAGGUGUGGAAGUGGGAGUCCCAGAGCAACAGACUAUAGGUGUGGAUAGGUGUGGAAGUGGGAGUCCCAGAGCGACAGACUAUAGGUGUGGAUAGGUGUGGAAGUGGGAGUCCCAGAGCGACAGACUUUAGGUGUGGAUAGGUGUGGAAGUGGGAGUCCCAGAGCAACAGACUAUAGGUGUGGAUAGGUGUGGAAGUGGGAGUCCCAGAUCGACAGACUUUAGGUGUGGAUAGGUGUGGAAGUGGGAAUCCCAGAGCGACAGACUAUAGGUGUGGAUAGGUGUGGAAGUGGGAGUUCUAGAGCGACAGACUAUAGGUGUGGAUAGGUGUGGAAGUGGGAGUCCUAGAGCGACAGACUAUAGGUGUGGAUAGGUGUGGAAGUGGGAGUCCCAGAGCAACAGACUAUAGGUGUGGAUAGGUGUGGAAGUGGGAGUCCUAGAGCGACAGACUUGAGUGUGGAUAGGUGUGGAAGUGGGAGUCCUAGAGCGACAGACUUGAGUGUGGAUAGGUGUGGAAGUGGGGUCCCAGAGCGACAGACUUGAGUGUGGAUAGGUGUGGAAGUGGGAGUCCUAGAGUGACAGACUUGAGUGUGGAUAGGUGUGGAAGUGGGAGUCCUAGAGCGACAGACUUGAGUGUGGAUAGGUGUGGAAGUGGGAGUCCUAGAGCGACAGACUUGAGUGUGGAUAGGUGUGGAAGUGGGAGUCCUAGAGUGACAGACUUGAGUGUGGAUAGGUGUGGAAGUGGGAGUCCUAGAGCGACAGACUUGAGUGUGGAUAGGUGUGGAAGUGGGAGUCCUAGAGCGACAGACUUGAG